rnacentral:rRNA from 1 species
UACGGAGGGUGCAAGCGUUGUCCGGAAUCACUGGGCGUAAAGGGCGUGUAGGCGGGAAGGAAAGUCGGGCGUGAAAUCCCUGGGCUCAACCCCAGGAACUGCACUCGAAACUUCUUUUCUUGAGUGCCGGAGAGGAAAGCGGAAUUCCGUGGUGUAGAGGUGAAAAUUCGUAGAUAUCAGGAGGAACACCAGUGGCGAAGGCGGCUUUCUGGACGGUAACUGACGCUGAGACGCGAAAGCGUUGGG